CCUACGGGAGGCAGCAGUGGGGAAUUUUCCGCAAUGGGCGCAAGCCUGACGGAGCAAUACCGCGUGAGGGAGGAAGGCUUUUGGGUUGUAAACCUCUUUUAUUCGGGAAGAAGAACUGACGGUACCGAAUGAAUCAGCAUCGGCUAACUCCGUGCCAGCAGCCGCGGUAAUACGGAGGAUGCAAGCGUUAUCCGGAAUUAUUGGGCGUAAAGGGUCCGCAGGUGGUCAUACAAGUCUGCUGUUAAAGCGUGGAGCUUAACUCCAUACAGGCAGUGGAAACUGUGUGACUAGAGUUCGGUAGGGGUCACGGGAAUUCCCAGUGUAGCGGUGAAAUGCGUAGAUAUUGGGAAGAACACCGGCGGCGAAAGCGCGUGACUGGGCUGAGACUGACACUGAGGGACGAAAGCUAGGGGAGCGAAAGGGAUUAGAUACCCCAGUAGUC
rnacentral:rRNA from 1 species